AAUUUCAUCCCACGCCUCACAAAAUUAUCAAAACCAAGCUAACGGUCGAAGAACCCUAGGGUAUAAAAGAUGAAAUUAAAUGUAAUUGGAGGGGAAUCCAAGCCAACAACCAGAGCGCUUUGACUCCCCUCACUCUAAUCUACAUCACGGUGGCAGUUUUAAUGCCUAUGAAAGGAUAAAGGGAAUGGAGCUUACAUGCCGGAGCAACUAUGGUGGUUCUUUAAGAUGUUGAUGCAAAGAAGAUCCAAAGGCAUUCUACUUCUCCAGUUUGACAUAGAAUGGCUUGUUGUGAGGCAAAGCUCAUGAAGGUCUUGGCAUUAAACAAGGCAUGGAGCAAGUCAUAGUUUAGUGAAGAAUUUUGAAGACUUGGUUGCACAAAGAAGGAAUGGCUUGUAAAUGAAGAAAAAUUGGGGACUAGGUCUUAGGAUUAGAUAGUUGACUUUGGUCAACUGUUUGACCAAAAAGUCAAUAAUUGACCAAAAGUCAACCUUAGGUCAAAACAUGUAAAAAUGUGUAAUAUUGUAAUUUGGAUUUUUGUAAUGUGAUUUGAUAUUUUGUAAUGAAAAUUGGCCCUUGAAUAGUA